AACGAACGCCGGCGGCGUGCCUAAUACAUGCAAGUCGAGCGGAUCUUCAUUAGCUUGCUUUUGAAGAUCAGCGGCGGGCGGGUGAGUAACACGUGGGCAACCUGCCUGUAAGACUGGGAUAACUUCGGGAAACCGGAGCUAAUACCGGAUAAUCCUUUUCCUCUCAUGAGGAAAAGCUGAAAGACGGUUUCGGCUGUCACUUACAGAUGGGCCCGCGGCGCAUUAGCUAGUUGGUGAGGUAACGGCUCACCAAGGCGACGAUGCGUAGCCGACCUGAGAGGGUGAUCGGCCACACUGGGACUGAGACACGGCCCAGACUCCUACGGGAGGCAGCAGUAGGGAAUCUUCCGCAAUGGACGAAAGUCUGACGGAGCAACGCCGCGUGAGCGAUGAAGGCCUUCGGGUCGUAAAGCUCUGUUGUCAGGGAAGAACAAGUACCGGAGUAACUGCCGGUACCUUGACGGUACCUGACCAGAAAGCCACGGCUAACUACGUGCCAGCCGCCGCCGUAAGAC
rnacentral:rRNA from 1 species